rnacentral:misc_RNA from 1 species
UGUGCCUCCUACUUACUGUAAGCACUAUUAGCAAUGAUAUCUACUAGCUUAUUUAUUUUCCUAUAUACAUGCUGAACUUUGAAGUUGUUUUGCUUCUUCCAUUAUAUCUAGUAUUUUCCAUGGUAUUUUUCGUUCCCUAAGUAUCACUUUCAUGAUUCCUAGUGAUUUGUUUCUAGUAUAACCUUCUUGAGCUUAUUUUUUUAUACAGUAAAUUAGCCCUUUUAGUCCUG